CCUACGGGAGGCAGCAGUGGGGAAUUUUGGACAAUGGGCGAAAGCCUGAUCCAGCAAUGCCGCGUGAGUGAAGAAGGCCUUCGGGUUGUAAAGCUCUUUUGUCAGGGAAGAAACGGUGAGAGCUAAUAUCUCUUGCUAAUGACGGUACCUGAAGAAUAAGCACCGGCUAACUACGUGCCAGCAGCCGCGGUAAUACGUAGGGUGCAAGCGUUAAUCGGAAUUACUGGGCGUAAAGCGUGCGCAGGCGGUUUUGUAAGUCUGAUGUGAAAUCCCCGGGCUCAACCUGGGAAUUGCAUUGGAGACUGCAAGGCUAGAAUCUGGCAGAGGGGGGUAGAAUUCCACGUGUAGCAGUGAAAUGCGUAGAUAUGUGGAGGAACACCGAUGGCGAAGGCAGCCCCCUGGGUCAAGAUUGACGCUCAUGCACGAAAGCGUGGGGGAGCAAACAGGAUUAGAUACCCCUGGUAGUCCACGCCCUAAACGAUGUCUACUAGUUGUCGGGUCUUAAUUGACUUGGUAACGCAGCUAACGCGUGAAGUAGACCGCCUGGGGAGUACGGUGCAAGNUUAAAACCGUCAAAGGAAUUGACGG
rnacentral:rRNA from 1 species